rnacentral:rRNA from 1 species
UACGGAGGAUCCAAGCGUUAUCCGGAAUCAUUGGGUUUAAAGGGCGCGUAGGCGGCCCGCUAAGUCGAACGUGAAAUCCCCGAGCUCAACUCGGGAACUGCGUCCGAUACUGGCGGCGUUGAAUCCGGGAGAGGGAUGCGGAAUUCCAGGUGUAGCGGUGAAAUGCGUAGAUAUCUGGAGGAACACCGGUGGCGAAGGCGGCAUCCUGGACCGGCAUUGACGCUGAGGCGCGAAAGCUAGGGGAGCAAACGGGG